GACGAACGCUGGCGGCGUGCUUAACACAUGCAAGUCGAACGAAGUGGCGAACGGGUGAGUAACGCGUAAUCAACCUGCCCUUCAGAGGGGGACAACAGUUGGAAACGACUGCUAAUACCGCAUACUGAAGGAGGGGAAUGCGUCUGAGUAGCUAGUUGGAGGGGUAACGGCCCACCAAGGGGAUGAGCAGUAGCCGGUCUGAGAGAAUGAACGGCCACAUGGUGACUUAGACACGGCCCCGACUCCUACGGGAUGCAGCAGUGGGGAAUCUUCCGCAAUGGACGAAAGUCUGACGGAGCAACGCCGCGUUAGUGAUGACGGCCUUCGGGUUGUAAAGCUCUGUUAAUCGGGACGCGGUACCGGAAUAGAAAGCCACGGCUAACUCCGUGCCAGCCGCCGCGGUAAUAC
rnacentral:rRNA from 1 species